AACCGCCGGAUGCGGAAAACCGCAUGUCCGGUGGUGUGGGAGGGCUGACGGGCGCAAUCCCGUCAGCCCGACCCGAU
rfam:Thiocapsa marina 5811 ctg472, whole genome shotgun sequence.